ensembl:lncRNA
GCCAUGUGUUAUGCUUGUGGGUGGUCUUAAGAUCUUAAAGAAAAGCUUUGCUCUGUGAAGUCAUGCAGCACUGUAUGUAAUUAAGAGGCUUCCCCCCCCCCCUUCCCCUCCAAACUCCUCUAUCUCUCCUGAUGUUGUUGUUGCGAAUGAUCUACACUUUGUGGAUGAGCUCCCUUUCAGUGCAUGUUAACCUGGGAAGGCUGUUUCUAGUACCUGAGCUUGAUCACAGAGAGUUCUCAGCUAUUUCUCUGCACAGAACUGCUGUGCCUCAGCCGUGACUCCACACCCGUCUCUGCAGCAUCUUUCAGAGCAGCCCGAUGGUUGUCUUCAUCUUCCUUCAAAAAAUCUUCUGAGACUUCACUUCAAAGACUCACGUACGUGGCAGAUUCAAUGACAGGUUCUCUGCUUUCAUGCCACAGCUUCUGAUUUUGCUCAGCAAUUCCCUAGCUUCUACAAGGCCAGCAGUGAGUGUGGAGCAAUCUUUGUCAGUGAUGGUGUGUGCAGUGUGUGACUGCACAGGAACCGACUCCUCAGGCUUCCUGAAGGAACUGGAAUUAAAUUAGACUCUUCUCAGCCGGACCAGUUCUUUCACCCGGACCAGUUCUUUCACCCAGUUCAAGAUACAACUAUGGGCACAUCACAGAAAAAGUUGUAUGGAUGUGGAGACAAACAGCAGAAGUCAGGAUGCCUCACAUUGGCUGUCACGGCUGACAAAAUGUAUAUCAACUGAUGCUCCAGAGCUUCUAAAACAUAGCUUUCCAUUUCUUGUGGCAUGAACAGUCUGAAGAAAGAAGUGUCUCCGUGGUAGAAGUAGAAAUGCAAAAGAAAACUAGUUCCUGUCCCAAGAGCUGGAAGAAAAAGGAUCGGAGGAAGCAGUGGAAGGGACAGGGCACAAGAAAGAAAAGGAAAGAAACGCGGACGCUCGCACACAACUUCUUACAAUGGCUCCAGCAUGCCCUUCCAUUGGCAGGAAUCCUUUUGAUCAAAUCCUUGCCCUGGGCUGGAAGUGUUUUAAUGAGCAUACAGACAUCAUCUUUUUUUCCUAGGUCUAUUUUGUGUUCUUAAGGAUAGAUAAGUAAAGCGUGCACUUAAAUGAUCCUGUGAGUGCUUCUUAACUGUGCUCUAGAGGAAAGGCGUAGUGCUUGAAUGUGGAGGCUGAACAGCGCCAGCCUGAAGGACAAGGAAAAUAGCAGAGGAGGAAACUUGAGCUGAACUGAACUUGUUUUCUUUAACAUCUUAUUUUCUUUUGGAGAAGGAAUAAGCAGCAUGAAACACCUAGACAUCUGUUGGAUGAGGGGUGUUUUAUGGAGACUCCCAUGUCUUGCUGCUUUUCCCCACAGAAUAUUCUGAAUUGAUAGGGACCCACAAGUAUCGUAGACUCAUAGAAUGGUUGAGUUGGAAGGGACCUUAAUGAUCAGUGAGCUCCAACUACCCUGCUGCAGGCUGGGUGCUCCCCACCAGCUCAGGCUGCCUGGAGCCCUAUUCGUGACCUUGGGCACCUCCAGGGAUGGAGCACCCCCACUCUCUGGGCAGCAGAUGUAAGAAUUCUCAGAGGUGCAGUGGGAUUUCUGUCUUUGCAUGCUGGUAGGUGCCAGCCUGUGAGAGGCCCAGGGCUGAAGGAUGUAGAAGCAGUGCCCACCAGUCCCUGCUCUCUCCACCAAAUGUGGGGCAGGUGUAGGACCCCAAAGAAGCUAUCCUUUAGUAGCAGCCCAAAUGUUGCUGAUUUGUGGAAAUGAGCCUGGGCUGCCAACCUUGCUCUUCUAGGAGCCCUGAAAGACUUUGAAUAUUAAAAAAUAAAGGUUGUACUUGAUAAAAGGCAAAUGUUUAGUUUGACACAUCUCAUUAUUCUAAGGAAUUUGCAGGAAAAGACAAACUUUGUUAGCCUGCCACUAAGUGCUAACAGUUUCUGGAAGUCAAUAAAGUGACCUGCUUGCCUUGGAAGGAAACAGUUAGCACAGACUUCCAAUUUCCCAGCUAAGUUAUGAAGACGGGAUGCAGGAAGACGGAAGCCAAGAUGUCAGUGCAGAAGACACAGAGCCUUCCCCAGACUAGGAUGGCUAGAGUUGAAAGAACAUCAUGCCCUGACAGCAGCUGCCAAAAUCAAACCCUUUUUCAAUGUUUUUUUGAUGUGAAUCACAGGAGGUUUCACUACUGGGAUUUGCAUCCAAACAGGAAACCUGCAGAUUUCUUCAAAUCCUGGCGACAAAGGUACUGGUAGUGCCCUGAGCUGAUUGUUGCAGUGGUGUUAAUGAUGCUCUUUCAGUAGCUGAGUGCUGAUACUCCAUGACUUUGGCUCAGACAACAGAGAUAGCUGCCAUGAAUUGCCUUCUGGUAGUGCCCGUUCCUCUCAGUUGAUUACAAGAGGAUCCCCAAAUGCUAGGUAAGACCAAGAUACUUCAUUUUUUUUUGUUUUUAAAGUUAAAUGAAGUAAUCCCACACUAAUUGCCUCCAUGGGGAAUGUAAUUUUUAAAAUGAAGGCUCUUCAAUCUGUGAAAGACUCUGAAUGUUGGAAAUUUUAUAGAGACAAAUUCAGAUUAAAAAUCAGGUGCACAUUUUUCUCAGGGAGCAUAAUUAACCUUUAGAGCAAAAAAUUACCACAGGUUGUGGCACUUUCUCUACCAGUGGAAAUUUUAAAAUCAAGAUGGAAUGUUUUUCUAAAAGAUUUGAUCUACAUAAAAUGAACUGAUCUGGGGAAGUUAUUUGGCCUGAGUUGUACAGGAGGUCAGAGAAGAUCAUCACGUUUGUCACUUCUGGAGUAACAAUACAUUUCUCUAUGUCUUGUGGUGCUAGAAUGCCUUUAACCAUUUUUUCCUUAAGUUUUUGGCUAUUCCUCAAUUUCCUUCCUGCUAACAGUAAUUACAAUUCCCUAACUUGCAGGACAAAUACAUUUAUAGUGUGUAAAUAUCCUGAUCACGAAGGUCAUAUAAAAAUUUAGGAUAUGUUCAAGAAGUGUAGACUAGAAUAAUAGAUAGAGUUUGAGUAACAUUUGUUGCCCAAGUGCUAAUUGUUCGUUGGUCUUGUUGGGGGUGGGUGCCUACUGAUAAUCAAAUCUAUUGCCAGUUUCCACAAAAUUAGACUACAAGUAUAUUGAAAGAGACACCCAGUGUUUUUAAAAAUAUCCCACAAAACAUCCCACGUUUUCCUUUGUGCAGUAGGCUCUGGAGUGAGGCCAGAUCUACCCUGCUCGUGGUCUCCCCACCCUAGUGGUUCAUAGUUCAGGAUAGAAAGGUCGCAUUGUUGAUGUGGGGUUAAGUGAACAGGAAAACCAUUAAAAGUUAUGUGAUUUUGGCAGUGUUCUGUAUUUUCCCUGUUUCAAUUCUGUGACUGGAUUAAAGUAGAUAAAUAAAUAAAUAAAUAAAAGUCCAAGAAGAGGAACAGGAAAGAGAUUACAACCAUUCAGGGAAAGAAUUUUCUUCUUACUUUGCCUUAAUCUUCUAGAUUAAAGUCUAAAUCCCCAUUGUCUAAGAACUAUGCGGUGGAAUGAUGGAGAAGGUACCCUUCAUAAGCGUUCAGAGAAUGAGAGAGAUUGAACAAUGUCUUGAUCUGGACAGAAACUUUCCAUUUUAAACUGUUUUGGAUGACCCAAUGGUCAUCCAAUUUCAUGAAAACUGUCUGCUAUGGAAUUUUUCAAAUUUUCUCUUUGAAGAUGUGAAAACAUGCAAGGGAAAAGUUUUUAGUUUUCAACUGGAAACGAUUAGGAAUGUGUGCUUUAAAAGCUGCCGUGUUGGCUGGUAGAAAUCUAAAUUCAGAUACUUUAAUUUCUUGAUCUUGUAUAUGGGGUAGAUUUCUGUCUGUCUUCCCAUGUUGCUCUGUAAUUUGAGAUCAGAUCAUCUCUAUAUCUAAUAUAAAUAUAUUCUUAGAAAUAAUAGUUGUUCAGCAGGUCUCCAAUGGGACUGGACAAUCAUGGGACCAAAUAGCUAGCAGAAUAUCAGGUUAGGAAACACAUGAGCUAUAAGCCCAUGAAGUACCAUGAUAUUUUAAAAACUGAAUGCAGUGACUUGAGAGAUCAAAAUGAUUUUAGAUAGAAUGUGCCUUAAAUCCAGCAUUCCUCAGUGACGGCCCUUGGUGUAAGUGAGGGCAGGAUUUUUCUGGCUAAAUAUUUUGAUGUACAUCCUUCCACGAACUUUUAGACUUGUAGAUCUUAAAGUCAUGGAUGAGGUUGUUCAUAAUUCAGCACAGGACCUUUGGCCCAUGCAUAGCAUCCAGUACUACUGACAUGAAGGCCUGGCUCUCUGGUGCAAGUAGAGGCCAGCACAAAUCUGAGAAAGCCUCACCACUCUGCCGAGUGGGAUUCUAGCACUAGAAUAGGUGGUCCAGCACAUCUGCACCUCCCUUUUUUGCACCUCUUUGGCAAUUAUUUUAAUAACAUUCUUACAGUGCACUAGAAAGGAAUGGAGGACAUGAAAAUCACUGAGAUUUAUGGCCAAGUCUUCUCCAGCUGCCUUUGGGACUGCCAUCUUUAGUCUGUGUGCAUGACUCUGCUUUCCUUUGCAUUUGAGCUGGGGAACCUUGGAGCCUUAGAUAAAACAAUUGAGAGGGAAGAAAUUUGCAGCCAUCCCAGAGAGACACACUGAUGUGGCUGUAUAUCUAAAAGAUCAGCCACACCUCACCAAGGUUUUCCUUUGGAAAUACAAGGAAAUCUGUGACUGUAACUUAUCCUGGCCCAAAGAGGGACUUGUACCUGCCUUGAUGCUCAGAGAGCUGUUGGUCAUAUGCUACCUGGUAAAUUCCAAACGAACCCACAAGUCAUAGCCUGGCCUUGCUUCCCAACUUCAGCUUUCCAUGAUGAUUUUCUGCCUGAAUACAUAUAAAUGGAGGCAAAUGGGAAUUCAGAUUCUGUGACAACUCAUUAUAGUUUUUUCUGCUUCAGUAACCUUAUUGAUUACAGAAAAGACCGAUUGAACGUAUGGUUCAUAUUUUUUUCCCAAACACUUUCAAUAAAUCCUCUUUAUGUUCCACAAAAAUAAAUAAAUAAGGAAAGUGUGUCUUCCUGACAGCUGGCUGCAGAGUAAACUUAGAGCACCUGCUUUCUUCUCUUUUGUUCAUUUUUUACUGCUAAGUGAAUAACACUUAACACUAAAUAAAGAAGGAGGGUGACCAUGGCUACUGAAAAAGAUUCAAAGGCAGUCAGUGCGUUGCUUGUAAAGAACUGAUUACAAACACAUAGUGUAUGGCAGAUAACAAUAUUCCUCCACAAUAAUCUAGCGGUAAUUCACAUUGUGGUUUAAGUGCCAGAUUCUCAUGAAAGCCGCUGAAUAAUCUAAGGCAACUCCACUCUGUCAGGUGCCACACAUUUCUUUGGCAAAUUUAACUGAUAACGUGUUUAAGUGUGCUGGUAGGACAGGCGGUGACCUUGAGAGCUGGCAGAAGGGGACUCGAGCAACUUUACCUUAUUCUGGCCUCAUCUGCAGGAGGAUUUGGGGGGAAAAAAAAGCAACAACCACCAACCUUCUUGAGGUCUUGGUUAUUUUAUUUGUAAAUAACCAUCUGCUUCUUUCUGAUCAAGAGCCAGCAUAGUAAGGUAUGACCCCGGGGAGAGCUGUGAUUGAUACUCCGCCACCUCUGCUAGCGGGGGUGCCGCACAAAAGGUAGCGUGAGGCUCACCAAUGGCCCGCGAUGAAAAAGAAUACACUUUCUUUCAAAAUGUAAAUGAUCCGAUGUUGUGAAGGGAUGCAGGUGGCGUAGGGGAAAAGACCAGCCAUCAAACACCUCCUGUCUGUUUGUCCUGUGCACCUCUCCCGCUCGGCUGCUGCUCCCCAGGCCAGGCACGGCUCUGCAUCACCCCGCUGCUGCCCGGCUGUGGGGCCUCGGUGACCUUGGGCAAGUCCCCUAAGCGCUUUGUGCGUCAGUUUAUCUACUGGUGAACUAGGUCUAAUACCUUUACCGAGGAUUAUGGCAAUUAAUUGCUGUUUGUAAAGCACGCUGAGAUCUGCGAUGUUACAGAAAUGAAUAUUCUGGCUCAGAAUUUGCCGUGCCAAGUGAUCGCAGGGUACCAGGGAGAGCAGCUAUUCUGAUCCUGUGCUGCCUUCCUUGUUUCCAAGGACUUUGGGGAGCUGUCCCAGGAAGCAGGAACACUUAAGAGAUCAAGAGCUUUUCUACAGAACAAAAUGGUUUAGGUUGCUGUCGUUCUGUCACUUGUAGCAGUCUGUGAAUGCCAAGUUAAAAAAAAAUCAGCUGCUGAGAAGUGUAUCUGGCUAUUCAAGAUUGAAAAAAUCAGCUGCUAAGAAUUGUUUGCGGCUAUUUAGGGUUUGCAUCCUUUGCUGCAACUCAGUGUUCGCACCGGUGGAGGGCUGGUUGUUACCAGGGAGUAGUGGGGAAACUGCUGAAUGAAUGUAAAGGAGAAAAGGGGGCAAUGUGGGCUGCAAAGCCCUCUGGUGUCUGGUGGAUUUUUUCACUGAGGUAUUUCAGCCUAAUGUGCUUUUAGUGGAAAGGUUCCAAAAUGUAUAACCAGGAAAAAAAGGUGAGGAGGGAGGGGGGGGGCUGCAAAAUUCCCAAGCAAAAUAACUAGAGGUAAAUUCAGUGUUUUUCCACUCCGGCAACCACAACCUUUGCUUUUAUUCUGGUGCAAACAGCUGCAGGUGCCUCAAGUCAGCCAGUUCUAUCUAUCUGCAAUGUCAUCCAUGUUUACUUGCAGCACUGGACUUUCGAUUCUGUCAGGAUGCCAAUCCAACGGGCCGCCAGGCACUGCAGCUGACAGUCAAAUCUGUAAUGCUGAAUCCUUCUUCUGGAAAAAAGGGCUAAAGAGGUUAAUACACUCAAGUAAGGAUAAACACACCAGCUGUUAUAGUUUCUAAUAUUUAAUGACAUUAUCAAAUAAAAUAACUCCUAAGAAAUAAAAAAUAUCCAGCCUCCAAAUCACUCAUCUUUGUUAGUAUUAAUAAAUUAUCCGAAAAGCCCACACUAUAAAAUAAUAAGAGAGACUACUAUUAAAGAAGUCAUAUUUACUCUUUUACUCUGCCGAUGUUGUUCUUCACCGAUACCUCUACAUUUUGGUGUUCCAUCAAUACUGGUGUCACAUCUAUAACAUAAUCAUGGAUGGAUUAUUGGAAUGCAGACAAAUACAAUUUAAUUUCUUUCUUUAUUUUUUUUUUCUGUAAGGGUUCUUGUUGAAAUAUAUCUUCUAUCUGAUUUUAUGAAUGUAAUGAUUCAAAGAUUUCAUAACUCUUAGUCUUUUUCUUUUACAAAAAUCUGCAUAGGAUCUGAAGAAUAAUGAGUCCUGCAACAGCAGGAGUGCUUUUGUGUGUGUUUCUGUAUGUGAAAUCUCAAAGGAAGCCUUCCAGAACUCAUUACUGGGGCUAAACACUUUUUAUAGAGUCAGGAAGUGACUAUAUGUUUUCCUCCUGUCGUUGUAGCUACAGUCUCUACUGCUGGUAGACAGGGUGGAUUAAGUAGGGGAUGACUUGAACACCCUCAGGAAGGGUGAGAAAUACAUACAAACACACAAUGGAAGAGGCUUUGCAGCCUGCAAAACAGCCUGAAAUGGGCUCAGCUGCCAGUUUAUGAUCUAUGUUAUAGCAAGGCACAUUCACUGUGUUGUACUUAAAGGUCUAUGACCAACACCAUAAAAUCCUUGAAUUCUAGGAUUUAUCUGGCAGACACUCCAAAUGGCAUCAGACUAAAGCUUAUCUAUCCUGUUAUGCUUCCUUUUUGGUUAUUGCUCAGUGAUGGGCAAAGGCACAGAGAUGCCGGGACUCUUUAUAGAACGUUGAUGGUAAAGGCAGCACAAGGGCUUGGCAGGGCAGUGUGGCCAGUGGUGCUCUUCUGCUGGCCUUCUCCACACAGGUGCAUUGAUUUCCCGUGCUGUACUUUUAACAAUGUAUGGACUGUGGAAAAAAAUAAUAUAUACAUGUAUAUGUAUAUUUCUAGUAUAGUAGGCAUAAGGUAGAGCUGGCUGAAUCACAGAAAUUCCUUCCUGUGAAAAAAUACUCAUUUUCAAAAUCCCUCCCUCCUUCCCCUAUAAAUUGAGGAAAAACAAAAUAUUAUUUUUUCUUUUUUUACUCUUUUUUUUUUUUCCUUUUUCCUCUGAGAAGAACUCUCCGUAAAAUAAAACAAAACCCCUAGCCUCUUUUAAGGGAAGCAAACUGGAAUUUCUUGGGGCUUGCCAGCUGCCUGCCGAAAGGGGUGAGCGGCAGGAGCCCGGUUGGCAGGCUGCUGCAGGCAGGACACCCCACGCCUGCCGCUCCCUCCUCCUCCUCCUUGCCUUCCCCCUAGCCUGGCUGCUGGGGAGGCAGCUGGGCUGCAGGGCCGGCAGAGCGCCAGGGCACUCAACCUCCCCUCCUCCCUCUUCCAGACCUGCUGCAUCUCCCCAGCUGCCUGCCUGGAAGACUAUUGUCAAUUUUGCUCUCUCCCUGCAGACGACAACAAAAUCGACAGGGGCCUUCCAGCCAAGCAGCCGUGGAGCCAUCCGUUUGAUUUUCCUAAUAGAAAAAUCAAAAAUUUCUGGCAAAAUUGAAAUUUUCCCAUAAAAGAAAUCCCAAUUUUAUAAAAGGCAGAUAUUCCACCGGAAAGUCAUUCCAACAGAGCAUUCCCAGCUGCUUUAGUUUGACAGACCUUUGAAUUAAAGUCUAUAGAAAAAAAAUGCUUGUGUGUUUGGCUGUGAAAUGAGAAUGGGUGAGUGGAGUCAGAUGCAAAUAGAGGUGGCCUCAGAGCCAGCGCACGAGUUCCCACCAUCCAACGAUCGGGCCCAGAGUAUCUGCAUGACCCUAAAGGAGCUAUAGGAGAUCACAUCUUUGCUACAAAGUGUUGAGAUGAUAAUUAAAGCGAGGUUAUGUCUCCUUCAAAACAUUUGCACAGGUUUGAAGCCUCGUGAGAAUAAUUCCCAGCACACAGUUGCCACCAAAUUGGUUCAGAAAAGCGUUCAAGCCUUUGUGUCUUCAUCAAAAUAGAAACCUUUUCAGCAGAGGCACAUCAGACACAGCCAGACAGUGGAAAAAAAAAAUGGAAUUUCACCCAGAGUAGUGCUACAAAGUCACCUUUGUCUCUGUUUUAUCUGCAUGCAUCUAGAUGGUGGGUGAUGCUAUGCUCCUGCAUGUGGAUGAAUUGUGGGAGCGAAGAGCCCUGGUUCCAGCAGCACUAGGAAGCCUUAUGGGGCAGCCAUCACCAUCACUAAAUAAGCUGAUCUGGUGAUUAAUGUAGAAAAGAAUGUCUGAGCCCCAAAGCAACCCAUGAGGAUGUGGUGCCGUGAAGACCCCCUGAUUGAGUCACUGGUUGUAGGAUUGGCCCUAUGGAGCCAUGCACUGAAGUUCCUUGUCACCAACUGUGCCCCACUCUUGACAUGGAGGCAUCGCAGAGUGAGUUGGAAUGGAGUAUAGCAGCUUUCUGUCCAAAUGUGAUAGCCUUCAUGGGGAUAAAACAGAUCCUUUAUUGCGUGUAAAUAUUUGCAAUGAAUGCUUGAUAGUUGUGUUUUCAAAUGUUCAUUACAACUUCUCCCCUCAAUAUUUUAUUCAUAUAGAUCAGUCUUUGGCCGGCAUCUUUCAUAAAGUGCUGAAAUUUGCCCUUGAGGCAUCAGAUGGAGUAGUCAGAUUGUCAAAUAAGUCUCCUAAUUGAAGCGAACGCUGGCACAAUAUUUGUCUUUUGAAAACAAACAUCGCCAGCAAAGUUGCAGGUCCACCACGGAGCCGCGCGGAGCCGGGUGUGCGCAAUGGGAGGAAGGCUGUGCGAGCAGAUUGUUGCAGGGAAACACCAAACCUGUGAAAAUCCACUGAACCAAAGCAAAAACAGUAAGAGCUCAUUAUUGCUUUAAAGUUUCAUGCGAGCAGGUGCAAGAAGUAAAUAAAUAUCCUCUUUUGGUGAUUUAUUUGCAUUUUUAUAUCUUAAAGGGUCAGAAGAAAUCAAUAGUUCUCCUUGCACUCUGUGAAAUUAAUCAGUAACUUUGGAGACACUCUGUGUUUAAGAAAACAAACUGAACAAACAGCACAUGGCCUUUAAAGAUGUCCUCCGGUGGUGUUCCUGGUGGAUUUGGGACAAUAAAAGGCUGAGUAUUUCCCAGUACAGCACCUACAAGAAAACCUAAGCGAGAGCACAGGACAAAGCCCUGUCUGGCGGUGCCCACCCCAGGUGACUCAGGAAGCAAGUGUUAUUGCAGCCAUAAGAAACCUGAUAGCGCUGUGCCUAUCAGCCAUCUGCAGGGGAAAAGGUCAGGGGCAUGGAUGUUGCCACUCACCUGGAGCACUUCUGUACCACUCCUCCAGCAGCUGCCGGUGGCACUGCUCAAAAUCACGGCUCUGAGCAAUGCCAAUAGGAGCAGGGUGUGUGCUUCAGGGUGGCCUGGGACUUCUGUAAGCAGCAACUCAAGCAAAUCUAGGUGGAGUGCAAGCAGGACAACUUCAUUUAAAAUGGCUGUGUGUGAUGACUUCAGUCCCAUAGCAUGCAGUCUCUAAUCGGCGUAGCAGUUCUUGGUGCAUCACCAGCUCCAUGUUGCAUUCCAUGUUGGUUUCAGCCCUGCCCAAUGCAGGGCAGCUCGGGCUGCUCAGAGCCCCAUCCAACCUGGCCUGGAGCGUCUGCAGGGAUGGAGCACCACAGCUUCUAUGUGCAUCUGUACCACUGCCUCACUGCCCUCUGAGUAAAGAAUUUACUCUUAACACCUAACUUAAAUCUCCCUUCUUUUAGUUUAAAGCCAUUCCCCCUCAUCCUAUCAAAUGAACCUAGUCUGGGAAUUUCCAUGCUAAAGCGCUACCACUCCAGUGGGGCUCCCCCUGAUAAAACAAACCCACUGGCUUUGGAACAAGCAGAGUAAGACUUUUGCAUCAAUGUAAUACAUAACAUGAAUUACUUGAUGGGAAGUGAAGACACUGAUAGUAUGGGAGCAAUAAAGAGCUGAUCCUACUUCCAUUAACUUUAUUGGGAGCAGACCCAAAAUCUUUAAGUGGAGAUUGGCAUAUCACAUCUAUCUAAUCUAAAGUAUCUCAGGAUUUAUAGUGUGGUAUCAGGACUGAGACAGACAGAUGAAAUAUUACUCCUGCUACAUUUAAUUUAUAAUCUUCAUCUCACUAUCAUUGCACCUACCUACUUAUAUAGUCUCCAUUACUAAAGUAGCUGAGAGACUGCCAAGUAUUUAGACAUAUAAAUAAAAUAGCAGAGAUUGUUUUGUUCUCUGUCUCCCUUUUUCUCUUGCUGUUUAUAAGAUGUCCCCUAAGGUUUGUGUUUGCUUUGUUUAUGGUUCUUAGUGUAAGUGAAUGGAACUGGAAAUCUGAAGGGUUUGUUUUUAAUAAAGUUUAUGGGAAAAUCAGAUACAUAGCAAAAGAAAUGCAUAUUUAUUUCUGUAUAUAUUGGGAUCAGUGGCUAUCAGGGAGAACAGAAGUGAAUGUGAAUUAUGGAGUUUAGAUCCAGGAGCUUUCAGAAUUUCAUUGCAUAAGCUCACAAACUUCCCCUGUUGAUUCACAGUCCAGACUGUACCUGUCAAAUGUCAUGGGCGGUCAUGUUGGUGGAAGGAGAUGUGAUAUCUCAGGAAGCAAAGUGCAAUACCCUGAAGGGCUUUGACUAUCAAGACACUGGGCAAGCCAAAGGAAUUUGUGCUGCUGAGUAAAUGGGAUGCUGUGUUUGGAAGUUUUCAGAGCUUUCAUAGGGCAUGUGGCUCUGUUCCUAUGUGUGAUAAGCAACCAUGGUGAAACUUCAAAGUCAAACAAUGCCUGAGUGUCCUGUCUGUGUCUUACAGGGAUAGUUGUGGACUUUUGGCUGGUCAAUCACAGAUAGAGAGGAUUACCAGGGAUUUAAGAAAGGUGUGCUUCCCCUCUCCAUAAAGGCAUCACUCCACCCCGGAGGGGCCACGCUGCAGCUCCCUGCUCCUCUUAGAGCUGCUCACAGUGAACACAGUGGUGGCUGGUGCUGGAACGAGAUGCGGGACCAAAGUCACCGUAGAAGCACCAACUCUCUGGUUUGGUUACUCAGCCUGGCUCUUGCCACCAUUGGUGCUUGUCACGCACCAGGGUCUGCACGUUGGGAGAGUUUGAGGCUGGUCUAACAGGAAGAACAUCAGACAUUUGAGGAUGUGUCCUUAAGAACUGGACAAUCCUAUGUUUUCUCUUUUCUAUUUCUGACUGCUGCUGAGCUCAUGAAUACCCACCAAUGGAUAAACAGAGAGCCCUGGACCUUUUUCAUAAUUGUUUCUGGAUAUAUCCUUCCUUCAUCUUAUUCUGAACAAAACUUCUUGAAUAGCUCAUUUAAGGAGAAAACACUCGAAAAGUAUAUUAGCAAACUCUUUCAGUGGGGUAAAACCAUCAACAUGGAAAAUUCAACUUUUCAAGAGAGCCAUUAAGUGUGAUUAAACCUUUAAAAAGGGAGAACAAUGAAUGCAGCCUUGUAUUUAGCAAUUUCAUAUCUUUAAUUGUACAAAGAUUUUCUUUAAAAGCACAAGCCUGAAAGGAAGCUGAAUGUUACAGUAUUUACUGAAGGAAAGCAAUGAGAGAAGAGAAGGCCUGUUCACUAGCUAAUGGAGUGAAGCCCAGAAAUAAUGACAAAAAAAAGCGAUAACGACCGCUCUCCAACACAACAUAUAUAAAAGAGGGAGCCAUAAAAAGGCAACAAUUCUUGACUUAGCUUUGAGUUUCACAAUGACUGUGAUUACAGAUAGCAAGUGGAAGAGCAUAUAUGCCAUGAUGAAAUCUCAUUGGCUUUGCAAUUGAGAUUCAAGCGAGGAAAGAAAAAAAGCAGGGACAUUGAAUUUCUGCAGAACAAAUUUUGGAUGGGGUAUGAGAAAUGGAAAGAAAGGGAGAAAGAACAAGGUCAUCAAAAAGUUCAGCAGAAAAUGAAUAUAUUCUCAUCCAUUCCAUCUAAUAAUAAACACACUAGGGGCCAGAUCCUCAGAUGAACCGAAUGCCAGUGAUGGAGCUAGCUGGUAGUUCCUGCAUAUGUGAAGAUCAAAUAUGUACAUGCAUCCUGGUGUACUUUAGCCUGUGCCAUCUUGCAGCAUCUUUCAUGCACACAGAAACCUUUGACUAAUGGGAACUAGAUUAUACCAAAGAAAUAAAAAACUAAACUCAUUAACUCAUACAAUAAUUAUAUUUAUGAUACAUUUCAUGCUAGCUUAACUGUAAGUGCUACUUUAAAGAGAAAAUAUUUUGACACAUUUUAAUGACACAUUAAUUGCCAGCUUUAUUUUUCUCGAUCAGUUUUUUAAAAGGCAGUGUUAGCAUCUUAUCUUCCAUCACACAUGUACGUGUCUGACUUCAUAUAUGUAAUACUGAGAUUAUAUAUGCUUGUACUUUUUCAUGACAAGGCUAUGUUAUCUCAGUUGAAGUCUUAUGCUCUUUGGAUUUUAACGGGCAUCUUUUAAAGCCUUCCAGUAGAUUUCCAAAAUACCUUAGAAGUGCAACUUCUAUUCAGUCAUUGUCUAGAAAACUAUAAGAGUGAGGUUUCUUAUACUUCUUCUAGAAAAAUUAGCUUUAAAGGUGCAGAGUGCAGAAGCUACGUAAAAAGAAUCCCCAAAGCAUUGAAACUACACUCUGACAGAUGGCAGAAGGUGCUGGUGGUCCCAGGCAGAGAGAAUGUAAUGUGACACACUGCAAAACAGCAACCUAGCAGGGAGAAUGAUGACUGAGGCUUGAUUCUCUCAAGGAGAAAGGCUGAGCAGAAUCACAUUAGAUCUCUGAGGAGUUUGCCUAAACAAUUUUAUUACAGUUACUCAGAGUAAUACCAGCUGUGAGCUUGUUAUUUAACAUCAUGGUAACUUGCAUGAGCAAUGAAAUAAAAAUGAAUUGGAGAGGAAUGUAGAAGUAAUGUAAAGGUGGCAGCAUGCCUGUAGGCAUAAGAACGAUGAAGAUGGAUACCAUUUUGAAGACUGAAAAAGCUAGUGCGACUGCGAGACAAGCAUAUGAGAAACCUGAAUGUCUGACACCUACCAUGGAGCCAGUGGCUUGCCGAUGACAGCCAUAUGGGAUAUGUCCGAUAAAGGUGAUCAGUGUAAAGAAUCAAACAAAAAUGCCAUUUCAGAACAGCCAGAACUAUCUGCAAAUGCAGUUCUCAUUCAGUGAAUAGCUUCAACUAGAAAAAAGAAAACACUUGAAAAAGACAGACACGAUUCCUUUGUCAUUUCUCAUAUUGAAUCUGAGCAGGGAAUUGUGAGCCUGAUAGCUUGCUGGUAGUGGCCUAACGCUCUGCAAAACUUUGCCUCAUUUGUAUCCUUAGAGCAUUGGGCCUACAAUAAUGGUAUUAAUUCUCUUUGCACUAGUAAAGAGAUGGUACGUGUUUCCUCUUUAGACCAGCAUGUGUAUCCUGGGAUUUCCCAUCCCUUGCUGACUCAGUGUAUAUUUAAUUAUACAAUGCAAAAUAAACCUGCUUGAAGGAGAUGAAAGAGCUCUACCUCUUGCAAGAGAGCCCUAGACCUGAAACAGCGUUAGCCACAGUCCCACUCUCAGCACAGAUAUGGACUAGAGAUUUUUAGAGCCCUCUCCAACACCUUUUCUGUGCCUUUGUGAUGACAUGCUCAGUUAGGUGGGUGUUAGGCACCGCUGUUUGGUGGUUGGCACCUACCUUCCUAGAGAAGGUAAGCCUAUGCUUUAGCAUUUCUUUUCCUGUGUAGCAAUUAAAAAGAGAUGGUCCCAGAAGGAUUGUCUUAAUUUUUAAGCAUAGUAAAUGCACAACAAAUGCUGAGGCCAGGCAGCCCUGAUCUUGAAUUAGAGAAGGUGCCUGAGAUCUGAGGCUUCUUGCUUUGAGGAGUAUCUCUGCCGCCAUCAUAUUGAGUAGAUGAGCAUAGUGUUCCGAAGAGUCCUACAGGAGAGGGUCUCUAGGUCUGGCUCUUAAUUUUGGACCAUUUGUGUUUCUAAUUAUAAAGAUGACUCAAGCUGGGAUUAUGAGUCUCUGGUAGCUCUGAAAAUAAUAUCCAAAGCUGAGCCACAGUUAUCAUUAGAGGCACUGAAAAUAGUUGCAAAACAAUGUACUGAUAUUUCCUGUAGUCACACCAGCUCUGGAAAAUGUUGACAGGAGGCACCAUCACAAAACUUUUGCCUGACAAAUGAAGAAGAGGACAAUGCCUGUAAUUUAGAUUUUGUAGUCUGCCAUCAAUUAAGUUGUAUGAGAAUCACUAGACCGAAGAGGGUAUUUGCGUGGGAAAGGUGAAUGAAAAUGCUCACCAUAGACUACAUACACUGAGAUUUUGCUAAUGAAGAAAAAGUGCAAAUACAGAGUUCCACUAUCUAAAACAAAAACAAAUUAAACUUCAUUCAUUGUGCCAUAGCCCUUAACAAGGGCAAUAAUAGGCGCUUAUGCAGGAUGAUAUAUUUUGUGAUUAUUGUAAAGAAUGACAUCCUUCUAUAAAAUGAAAUUAUGAAUUGUUUCAUGAAUGCUACAUCCCUGACACUUGCAGGACUGUGCCAUUUUUUUCCACUGAAACACUUAGGCAAUUACUCUUCAUGGAUAAGACAGAAACGUCUGGAUGUACAAUGGUUUCUGCAUUAACAAAGUUGCUAUGAUUUAGUCUGCUGUUUGCAUCUACUAACCUGCAGUGACCAGAAGCCAUUAUUUCCAUCGGACACAAUGGCAACCGGAAACAUUACCCUCACAAUGCUGAAGAAUGUAAAUGCAUUAUCUCAUGACCUCCAAGGAUGUGGUAUGUGGCACUGCUGUACAAAAAGUUUUGAAACUGGUUUGCAAUGUACUUAUGUCUACUUGCUCAUAGAAAAUUACUUCUUUCACUUGCUUUGCUUUGACCUCCAAGGAGAAUGAAUGGCUCACAUACGCAGUCUUUAAAAACAUCCACAUAAAGUGUGGGAGGGCUGGGAGCGAACAGGUUGAGAAGGCAGAGUGGCAUAAGUGAGUUAUUGUGGGUGGGGAAUGAAAUAAAAGCUUGGGCAUACGGGUGGACAACAAACAAAGCGACAGAAUUGCCAGAGAGGCUGUGCCCUGUUUUCUGACUUGAACUACCACACAGCUGUGAGUGAGAUGUCUUGGUGACCAUGACACAAACCUAGGCUCCAACAUUUCAUUCAUUGUGCCCCUUCCCCCCUCCUCCCCCCCACCCCCCUUAUUUUUUUCCUCAUUAUCUUACUGUGAAGAAAUGGUAAACCUAUCUCCAUACCUUAAUUAUGCACUUCUUGUAUCAACAGGCGUUUAAAAGAAAAAAAAAAUAUAUUUUUUUUGCAAGCUCACUGAAGUCCUCAGUUUUCUAGGUUAAGAAUGCUUGAUUUGGGAUAAAGCAUCUUUGGCUUAUUUUCACCCUUGCUUCCCUCUCACCCACAGACACAUGCACGUGUACAUUUCUAUUUCUACUUGUAUGUAAUUUCCUUCUCCAGGAACAUUUUCCCAAAUAAUUUCUUAAGCUCCCCAAAUGAAAUGCUGUACUGUGCCAGAGACCAUUUGGUCUUCAAAUUUCCCAGGACAGGAGUGAGACUGGUGUGGCCAUAGAGAGGAGUUGGUGAAGACUCGAUGCCUAUGGGAUUUAAGAUCCUGGGCCUUGUGUAAGGAGCAGGGUGGAUGUUGAGGAUCCAACCAGAAGUGGGCAGGAGCAGAAGCAUCUCUGGUUCCUUUUCUCAGUGAGUCUUCUCUGGUGAGAAUGGCCAUAAAUGGCUCUCAGACGUUUGUCUCCCAGGGAUGGUUGUCUGCCUGAUAUGAUUACAUGGAUACUGCGUGGAUGUUUCCAAGCAGCCCAUACAAUAUGCAUGUAGAAAAUCACUGGUGUCUCCUGAGAGCUGGAUAAAUUCCAAUCCCAUUCACAUUCUGUUGGAACUUGAGACUAUAUGGGAUGUGUAGAAACUGUGAUCACUUAAAGCUAAGAAGGGGCAAAAUUUUCUGGGUUAUUAUUACUGCUAUAGUCACUGUUAACUAGCAGCCCAGAAAAAUCAACUAAACAUUGCCUUAAAAAAAACAUAUAUAUAUAUAUAUAUGUAUCCAAAACUUUAGUUUUCUUGCUAAUUUCUGAUUUCUAUUCUCUACUAUCUUGUUGAUUCCUAAUGCAGAACAGGUCUUGAGCUGCCUGGAGAACAUGCUGUGGCACCCAACAUGGCCACACAGGAGGUCUCUGCCUGCCUCUGCUGUCCCUGAUGCCGAAGGAGGACAGGCUGUGCCGGACAAUUAUGUGAUCGUGACAAAGCCAAGUGACUCCCAGGGAUCAUCCACAAUGAUGAUGAGAGCCGGUGGGGAACACCAUGGAGGAGAAUGAAACAAUUACGAGCGUCUUUUAAAGGAAACUGUGAGAGAGAGGACUCCAGACGCUGCAGUGUGACAGCUAAACCAAGGAGCAUCGGAUGCAAUGGAAUUGCUCUACAAGCAACCUUGCCAAAGGCCCUUUUGCUGCACAAAGCUGGCUCUAUCUUUGUAUAUUGAGGGAACUAAAUCAAUGUUAAAUGCUUGGCUCUUUUCACAGGACAAUGACCAGGACCUAAGCUGCGUCCUUCCUAUUUGAUUGACACUUGAAACGUUGAGUUGGAAUCAGCCAGAGGCACUGCUACAAGCUUGAAGCCUCUGCUGGGGAUAACAACUGGUGACAUCUGCAGAAAGGCCGACAAAAGGCAGUUGAAAGCCGUGUUUGUUGCUUUCCCCUCUCAGAUCUCCUCUCUUUCAUGGAGCUCCUUACUUGCUUUAAUAUUAUGAUUCAGCACCUGGCUCUUUUGAACCUUGCUUUAAACUUCAAAAGGCGAGGUGGUAUUAACAAACAUGAAACGAAAAAGUGGCAGUAGUUUGAUUUACUGUUGUCGUCUUAUCAAGGGGGUUUUUUGUCACCAGCUGCCACUUUCUGUCAUCUUUGGAACCAUUAUCAUUUCUCUAAAAUCUAAAAGACUCCACUUAAUAACAGCUUUGAAUACAGGCAGGAUCAGUAACGUAUACAGUUCUGGGAUGACAGGGCCGUCAAAUGAAAAGAAAGAUGUUGCCAAAAAAAAAAAAAAAAAUCCUUAAAAAAAAAAAAGCAAUAAAACAAAUAAAAGCCAUAGUACUUCUAAGUGACCUUGAUUUCAGAAUUAAACAAAUCAAGCACAAUUCCAUUGUUCUUUCUGGAUUAAUUCUGCACUUUCUUUGCAGUGUUUCUUUUUUGUUCUCAGGACUAAGGGAAAACAAAGCCAAGGCUUUCAGAAAACUGCUCGGCACACAACAAGCACUUGGUAUCACAUGAGUGCUGUAAGCUUCUCACUGUAAAACUGCCAGCGAUAAUUACUGGUCUCGUUUCCCCACCAUCCCAGCACAGCAACUCACAUUCAGGCUGAGCUGCCUUGCUAGUCAAAAAAAUGCUCAACUCCCCUCUUAUAGUGCUGCUCCAUGCUUUCCUGCAGACCUUCCCAACAUGGUUGUGUUGGUCUUUGGCUGCCAAGGCAGAACCAAGUGCCUGGUCAAGUUUGCCCAUUGCAGCUGCUCACAUUAAGCCACAGGCAGUCAAAUAAACACAAUUUUCUAAAGUGCAAACCUACUGCACUUUCACACUUGUCGCCUUGCCAUUCUUUACGGGAAACUCACUCUGAUCCCUUUGUUUUAUAAUGGUAUGCAUAAUUAACUCAUCUGAAGGUAGAAAUUUCUCCCACUGCCUUCUAAACUCAUGGAUAAAUGAUGGACAAGCCAUCACAAGCAGUGACUUUUAAUUUGCACAAAUUGGAACCUGCACUUCUGUGCAUCUUAAUAGUUACUUCCACUUGUGCAAAAAUAGUGAAACCAACUGCAAAAACCAAAGGAUCCCCUCCACUCUCCCCAUUGAUGUGUCCUCCCUCCCCUCAGUUAUGUGUAAAUCCAGGCAAUGGGAUCCAACACAUGGUCUCCCAUUGGCCUCUUCCAGACCUGUUCAACCACAGGAAUCUGGGGGAGAUUUAUGCCAGAACAUCUUCCUAAAACAGUGAUGGAAACAACAAAAUGAAAAUAUUCAUAGAAGUGAAAGUGCUGAUGUCUUGACCAGUGAAAACACAGGAUUGCAAGACUCCAAAGUUGGUUGAUUUUUUAUGGACUGGGAUGCGACAAAACUCAUGAAAUUGAGAUGGAGAUUGCUAAAAAUACCUAUUAUCCUCUGACAGAAGCACUCACUGUAUAACGAUAACGAGGGUUUUUCACAGAGCAUGUACAGAUUUGAAAGUUUAGUCAUUUUAACAAGUGUUAAUUACUGCAUGCUAACCAGCAGAAGUGUGUGGGGGAGAUGUUUUAUAUUUAUUUGUUCCAGACUUGGAACAUAUUAGAAAGUAGGCUCCCUUCCAGGUUACUGUGGUAUGAAUGAAUACGUUACCCAACUACAAAUAAAAAAUACUGCAAGAAGAAAUAAGGACUUUUCCCCAGCAUAUUUCUUUGAAGAGAAGACCGAGAAUAUGUUUAGUCUAUUACAUCAAGUGGAAAUCUUAGCCUGACCCUACUAAAAGUGCGUGUAGCACACAGAUACCAGAGCAGUGUGUCUGUGGGAGGUACUUUUAGGUUUAUCCAUGAAAAAAUGAGAUAUUCUGAAAGAAAGAACAUACAUGGGAAAUUAUCGGUGCAGUUGGAUCAGUCUCCCUGCAUGCUUUAGUAUGAUGCUGGAGAAGAGGAG